rnacentral:rRNA from 1 species
AUGAGACAUUUCAAGGCCAACAUGACUGCUGACACGCUUCUCCAGUUCACAAACCUAUGGCACGACCUUCAAGCAGUGCACCUCAAUCCGGAUCAGCAGGACUCAAUCUCAUGGAGAUGGACGGCCAAUGGUGUUUACAACGUAGCCUCUGCGAACAGAAUUCUCUUUGUUGCAACCAUCAAGCAGGACUUUGCCAAAAUGGCCUGGAACUCUGAGGCCCGGCCGAAGUGCCAGUUCUUCGUUUGGUUGGAAAUUCAAGGACGUUGCCUUACGGCUGAUAACCUUGCCAAGCAUGGGUGGCCACAUAACUCAACCUGUUUGCUAUGCCAACAAACUCCAGAGACGAUGAUGCACAUAUUGGCGACCUGCCCAUUUGCGCAAGGUUUGUGGCUUCGAGUGCUUGACUUGUUGAUGAUGCUGAGCGACAUGGCACCGCUGCCCAUGGAUGUUACCCUCCUGGGCUGGAUGACACACACUUCAGGUAGGCUCACGAAGGACGCCAAAAAAACUUGGAGAUCGAUCAGUGCGCUCAUUUGGUGGUCACUAUCGAAGGAACGAAACGUCCGUGUCUUCAGCCAACAAGCCUCUACGAUCGGUCAGGUUCUUUCCAACAUACAGGAGGAUGCAAAGAUAUGGAUCGAUGCUGGGAGACGUCGGGUGAUAGCACUGAUUGAAAGGCCAAGGGAGCCUGAUUGA